rnacentral:misc_RNA from 1 species
CAUCUGUGUGCGUUGUCUGUGUGUAUGUACAGCAAGCAUCUGUUGUCUGUCUAGAGUCGUUGACCUGGAGGACAGCGAGAGUGUGAGAGAUGUGAAGAAGCAGCUGAGAGACAAGGAGAUGAAGCUGACGGACAUCAGACUCGAGGCGCUGACGUCGGCCCACCAGCUGGAGCAGCUGAGGGAGCAGGUCGGCAAGAUGAGGAAUUGUCUAUAGGAGAUGAUGCCAAGAAGGAGGGAAGGUGGAUAUCAGUGUCAGUGUACAUAGGUGGGCACACGGACUCAAGCAAGUGUGCGCAUGCGGACAAACAAGCAGACAUUCUGAUUGGAUCCAUCUUCGUUAGCGGCAAGACCAAGUGGGAACUGCUCGACAAUAUAGUGAGGAGGAUAUUCAAGGAGUACGUGCUGCGCGUGGAUCCCGUCUCUAACGUUAGCAGGAGUGCGCGCUGCGCGUGGAUCCCGUCUCUAACGUUAGCAGGAGUGCGCGCUGCGCGUGGAUCCCGUCUCUAACGUUAGCAGGAGUACGCGCUG